GCUACGCUGGCGGCGUGUCUUAGCCAUGCAAGUCGAGCGGACUUAUGGGGUAACUUAUAAGUCAGCGGCGGACGGCGGAGUAACACGUAGCUAACCUACCCUCUGGACGGGGGAUAACCUACCGAAAAGGUGGGCUAAUACCCGAUGUAGUCAUCCUGUAUAGGGGUGAUGAAAGGUGGGCUUCUGUUUACAAGCUCAUGCUGGAGGAGGGGGCUGCGGCCUAUCAGAUAGUUGGUAGGGUAAUAGCCUACCAAGCCGAUGACGGGUAGCCGGCCUGAGAGGGUGACCGGCCCGAGGGGCACUGAGAUACGGGUCCCACUCCUACGGGAGGCAGCAGGCUAGAAAUUUGGGCAAUGGGGGAAACCCUGACCCAGUGACGCCGCGUGCAGGAAGGAGCCCUUCGGGGUGUAAACUGCUGUCGUGUAGGGAGAAGGGUACUAAGGUGAACAAUCUUAGUACUUGACGGUACUACAGGAGGAAGCCCAGGCUAACCUCGUG
rnacentral:rRNA from 1 species